rnacentral:lncRNA from 1 species
GCCGACAGUCUCUUAACACACUAACCCCACAUGCUAACACACUCGUGCAGCUAUUGUCAUGGUGCUGUGGGUCUUUUUGCUCUGUCUGCAGGGAUGUCUGCUCACACAUGCUCUGGACUGCACGGGCAGGAGUGUGGACUGUGUCAACACACAGAUUACAGAGGUCAAGGUUAAAGAUGAGCCCUUAUCUUCUCUGAUGAGGGCUCGAAGACAAGCUCAACUCACUCAGCGGCCUGGAUCUUAUUCAGUCAAAGGAUCUCCUAACACACUCAUCCAGCCUGACAGGUCGAGGCGACAUUUGAUUGCUAGUAAAAAAAAGCCCCACAGAUCUCGCAUCGGCUCUUACUCACUUCUUUCCCAUAACCACGCAACCAACCCACUGCAGGUGUGUAUCCACAAUCAAAAUAUCAUCAACACAAAUAAUCAAAGUGAUAGUCU